UAAGAACACGCAAACACGCUCACUUCAAACUUGGAUUUUUAUAAGUCUUACAAAAUAAUUUGUUUCACAGGGAAAAUCUAAUUAAACUAAAUUGACUUCUUAAUAAUAUUAUCGGCUAUAAUUUUCGUACGUAAGCACAUUAAUAAUGUAAUUUUUUUCGGAGCAUAUUUUAGUGCAUAUAUUUGGUUGUUUUUUUCAAACAUGUCUGUACAUUCGCGUGGUCACCGUUUAUAGUGAUUACACUCGUCCGAGAAUAUUUUGAUUGCAAUAAUAAGCGGUGAUU